GCCCGCCUAGCUCAAUCGGAUAGAGCGUCAGACUUUUACGGAAGUCCGGGUGAUUGUAUCGCAGGAUUCUGUGAUCUGAAGGCUGCGAGUUCGACCCUCGCGGUGGGCU